rnacentral:rRNA from 1 species
GACGAACGCUGGCGGCGUGCUUAACACAUGCAAGUCGAACGGAAAGGCCCUGCUUUUGUGGGGUGCUCGAGUGGCGAACGGGUGAGUAACACGUGAGUAACCUGCCCUUGACUUUGGGAUAACUUCAGGAAACUGGGGCUAAUACCGGAUAGGAGCUCCUGCUGCAUGGUGGGGGUUGGAAAGUUUCGGCGGUUGGGGAUGGACUUGCGGCUUAUCAGCUUGUUGGUGGGGUAGUGGCUUACCAAGGCUUUGACGGGUAGCCGGCCUGGGAGGGUUGCCGGCGAAAUUAGGACUGAGAUACGGCCCAGACUCCAACGGGAGGCAGCAGUGGGGAGUAUAGCACAAUAAGCGGGAGCCUGAUGCAGCAAAGCCGCGUGCGGGAUGACGGGCUUCGGGUUGUAAACCGCUUUCGCCUGUAACGAGGCGUGAGUGACGGUAAUGGAUAAAGAAGCACCGGCUAACUACGUG